GACGUAGGGCGCGAGCGUUGUCCGGAUUUAUUGGGCGUAAAGAGCUCGUAGGCGGCUUGUCGCGUCGGCUGUGAAAACCCGCGGCUCAACUGUGGGCGGGCAGCUGAUACGGGCAGGCUGGAGUUCGGUAGGGGAGACUGGAAUUCCUGGUGUAGCGGUGAAAUGCGCAGAUAUCAGGAGGAACACCGGUGGCGAAGGCAGGUCUCUGGGCCACUACUGACGCUGAGAAGCGAAAGCAUGGGGAGCGAACAGG
rnacentral:rRNA from 1 species